rnacentral:misc_RNA from 1 species
UCCCCGUUACCGAGGCAGUCUGACUAGAUAUAUACAACUAGCCACGAGGGUUGCGCUCGUUGAAGGACUUAACCUAACAUCUCACGACACGAGCUGACGACAGCCAUGCAUCACCUGUCACCGAGUUCCUUGCGGCACGGCCCGGUUUCCCGGGCUUUCUCGGGAUGUCAAACCUUGGUAAGGUUCUUCGCGUAUCUUCGAAUUAAACCACACGCUCCACCGCUUGUGCGGGUCCCCGUCAAUUCCUUUGAGUUUUAAGCUUGCGCUCGUACUCCCCAGGCGGGAUGCUUAACGCGUUAGCUUCGCUACCGAGCCGGUCGAUAGGCCCAACAGCUAGCAUCCAUCGUUUACGGCGUGGACUAC